GCAAACUUGGUCAUUUAGAGGAAGUAAAAGUCGUAACAAGGUUUCCGUAGGUGAACCUGCGGAAGGAUCAUUAAAAAUUUUUUGAACCUUUUUAUGGUUCAAAAAUCCAUAAAUUCACCUUGUGUGCUGCUAUUGAAAAAAAGUAGCCUUUUGGGAGGUGGGGAUUCCAGAGUAUGUGGGAUCUCAUCUCCCAGAGGGUAUAUCCAAUCUACAAAUUUUUUAUGACUAAAAAUUUAUUUAAUUAAUAAUAAAACAACUUUCAACAACGGAUCUCUUGGCUCUCGCAUCGAUGAAGAACGCAGC
rnacentral:misc_RNA from 1 species